UACGGAGGGUGCAAGCGUCAUCCGGAUUCACUGGGUUUAAAGGGUGCGUAGGUGGGCAGGUAAGUCAGUGGUGAAAUCCCCGAGCUUAACUUGGGAACUGCCGUUGAUACUAUCUGUCUUGAAUAUCGUGGAGGUUAGCGGAAUAUGUCAUGUAGCGGUGAAAUGCAUAGAGAUGACAUAGAACACCAAUUGCGAAGGCAGCUGGCUACACGGUAAUUGACACUGAGGCACGAAAGCGUGGGGAGCAAACAGG
rnacentral:rRNA from 1 species